CGGGUGAGUAACACGUGAGCAACGUGCCCAAGACUCUGGAAUAACUUCGGGAAACCGGAGCUAAUACUGGAUACGAGACGUAAAGGCAUCUUUAGCGUCUGGAAAGAAUUUCGGUCUUGGAUCGGCUCACGGCCUAUCAGCUUGUUGGUGAGGUAAUGGCUCACCAAGGCGACGACGGGUAGCCGGCCUGAGAGGGUGACCGGCCACACUGGGACUGAGACACGGCCCAG
rnacentral:rRNA from 1 species